rnacentral:rRNA from 1 species
UACACAUGCAGUCGAACGAGAUCUUCGGAUCUAGUGGCGGACGGGUGAGUAACGCGUGGGAAUAUGCCCUUUGGUACGGAAUAGCCUCGGGAAACUGAGAGUAAUACCGUAUGUGUCCUCUGAUCGUGGUGGUUGGAGGAGAAAGAUUUAUCGCCAAAGGAUUAGCCCGCGUUGGAUUAGAUAGUUGGUGGGGUAAUGGCCUACCAAGUCUACGAUCCAUAGCUGGUUUGAGAGGAUGAUCAGCCACACUGGGACUGAGACACGGCCCAGACUCCUACGGGAGGCAGCAGUGGGGAAUCUUAGACAAUGGGGGCAACCCUGAUCUAGCCAUGCCGCGUGAUCGAUGAAGGCCUUAGGGUUGUAAAGAUCUUUCAGUUGGGAAGAUAAUGACGGUACCAACAGAAGAAGCCCCGGCUAACUCCGUGCCAGCAGCCGCGGGUAAUACGGAGGGGGCUAGCGUUAUUCGGAAUUACUGGGGCGUAAAGCGCACGUAGGCGGACUGGAAAGUUAGAGGGUGAAAUCCCAGGGCUCAACCUUUGGAACUGCCUUUAAAACUAUCAGUCUAGAGAUCGAGAGAGGUGAGUGGAAUUCCGAGUGU